GUCAGUGUGGUGUAGUGGUUUGAAUGUUGGACCAUGUCUCUGGAGACCAGGGUUCAAUUCCCCACUCAGCCA